rnacentral:rRNA from 1 species
GUUUGAUCCUGGCUCAGGAUGAACGCUGGCGGCGUGGAUAAGGCAUGCAAGUCGCAUGGGUUUAGACCCAUGGCAAACGGGUUAGUAAUACAUAGGAACGUACCCUCAAGUCGUGAAUAACCCCGAGAAAUCGGGAAUAGUACACGAUGUACUCUACGGAGUAAAGAUUUAUCGCUUGAGGAGCGGCCUGUGUCCUAUCAGCUUGUUGGUAGUGUAAUGGACUACCAAGGCUAUGACGGGUAGGGGACGUGAGAGCGUGACCCCCAACAUUGGAACUGAGACACUGUCCAAACACCUACGGGUGGCUGCAGUCGAGAAUAUUCCACAAUGGGCGAAAGCCUGGUGGAGCGACGCCGCGUGCAGGAAGAAGGCCCUUGGGUCGUAAACUGCUUUUCUACUUGAAAAAUUUUAUGAUGGUAGAGUAGGAAUAAGAGGUUGCUAACUCUGUGCCAGCAGCAGCGGUAAUACAGAGACCUCAAGCGUUAUCCGGAUUUAUUGGGCGUAAAGAGCAUGUAGGCGGUUUUGUUAGUCAGAUGUCAAAUCUUCGAGCUCAACUCGAAAACUGCAUUUGAAACGGCAAAACUUGAGGAAGUGAGGGACCAGUGGAACGUAUGGUGUAGUAGUGAAAUGCGUUGAUAUCAUACGGAACACCAAAGGCGAAGGCAUCUGGUUGGCACUUUUCUGACGCUGAGAUGCGAAAGCGUGGGUAGCGAAUGGGAUUAGAUACCCCAGUAGUCCACGCCGUAAACGAUGCAUACUAGAUAUCGGGAGAAUCGACCCUCUCGGUGUCGUASUAACGCGUUAAGUAUGCCGCCUGGGAAGUACGAGCGCAAGCUUAAAACUCAAAGGAAUAGACGGGGAUCCGCACAAGUGGUGGAGCAUGUGGUUUAAUUCGACAAUAAGCGAGGAACCUCACCAGGGCUUGAAACUUAGCUGCAUUACCUAGAAAUAGGUAAGCCUUCGAGGGUGCUAAGCAGGCGUUGCACGGUCGUCGUCAGCUCGUGCCGUAAGGUGUUCUGUUAAGUCAGGAAACGAGCGCAACCCCUAUCGUAUGUUACAAUGUCAUACGAGACUGCCCCCGGGAGGAAGGCGGGGAUGACGUCAGAUCAGCGUGGCCCUCUGACGCCCUGGGCUACACACGUGCUACAAUGGCCAGUACAAAGGGUUGCCAAACCGUAAGGUGGAGCUAAUCCCAAAAAACUGGUCUCAGUUCGGAUUGAGGUCUGCAACUCGACCUCAUGAAGCCGGAAUCACUAGUAAUCGUAGAUCAGCCAUGCUACGGUGAAUACGUUCCCGGGUCUUGUACUCACCGCCCGUCACACCAUGGGAGUUGAUUUCACCCGAAGCGGGGAAGCUAAAUUGGCUACCCUCCACGGUGGAAUUAGCGACUGGGGUGAAGUCGUAACAAGGUAGCCG